UCGAGGGACAAGUUUCCUGGAAACAGGAGUGCAGUUUGCAUAUGGAUCUACUCUGCUUUAUUUGCUAACUGUCCAUUCGUUGAGGUGUACCCAGUGUAUCUUUGGAUGUUUGCUAACACAUUAUCGUGCGACUUGGAUAGCAUUGCACCGGCAGGGUCUUUCGAGACUGAGCGGGGAAAGAGGUUUCUGACAAAUCCUGCCAAGUCACCCAUAAGUCGAUCCCACAGGAAGACUCUGAUUGAAGCUACAUUUAUCGAGUUUGGUAAACCAUCGUAAUCAGAUUCUCUUUCUGGCUGGUUCAAAGUUGCAAUAGAACUUUUAGAGUCUUCUUGGCUGAAUAAUAUAGACAAUCACUAGAAACGGGCAAGUUUCUUGAAACAAAAAAAUGAUCACUAGAUAACAGAUGGUAUGUUUGUGAACGCGCUGACACCUCGAUCUAUAGAAGUUUACCUGAUGCCGACAGUAUUGAGUUUGGAAA